GGGCUCACUUUAGCAGCACAUGUGCUAAAAUUGGAACGAUAGAAGAUAAGCACGGUCCCUGCGCAAGGGUGAUGUGCAAAUUCGUGAAGCGUUCCAUAUUUUU